UACGUAGGGCGCGAGCGUUAAUCGGAAUUACUGGGCGUAAAGCGUGCGUAGGCGGUUCGCUGUGUCCGAUGUGAAAGCCCCGGGCUUAACCUGGGAAUGGCAUUGGAAACUGGCGGGCUUGAGUGCGGCAGAGGGGGGUGGAAUUCCGCGUGUAGCAGUGAAAUGCGUAGAGAUGCGGAGGAACACCGAUGGCGAAGGCAGCCCCCUGGGUCGACACUGACGCUCAGGCACGAAAGCGUGGGGAGCAAACAGG
rnacentral:rRNA from 1 species